rnacentral:rRNA from 1 species
AUUGAACGCUGGCGGCAGGCCUAACACAUGCAAGUCGAGCGGGGUUUUCGGACCUAGCGGCGGACGGGUGAGUAAUGCGUAGGAAGCUACCCGAUAGAGGGGGAUACCAGUUGGAAACGACUGUUAAUACCGCAUAAUGUCUACGGACCAAAGUGUGGGACCUUCGGGCCACAUGCUAUCGGAUGCGCCUACGUGGGAUUAGCUAGUUGGUGGGGUAAUGGCUCACCAAGGCGACGAUCCCUAGCUGGUUUGAGAGGAUGAUCAGCCACACUGGAACUGAGACGCGGUCCAGACUCCUACGGGAGGCAGCAGUGGGAAUAUUGGACAAGGGGCGCAAGCCUGAUCCAGCCAUGCCGCGUGUGUGAAGGAGGCCUUCGGGUUGUAAAGCACUUUCAGCGAGGAGGAAGGGUUAGUAGUUAAUAGCUGCUAAUUUUGACGUUACUCGCAGAAGAAGCACCGGCUAACUCUGUGCCAGCCGCCGCAGUAAAAC